rnacentral:rRNA from 1 species
UACGGAGGGUGCAAGCGUUAUCCGGAUUUACUGGGUUUAAAGCGCGUGUAGGCGGCUUUGCAAGUCGGGUGUGAAAGCCCUCAGCUCAACUGAGGAAGUGCGCCCGAAACUGCAGAGCUUGAGUGCCGGAGAGGGUGGCGGAAUUCCCCAAGUAGAGGUGAAAUUCGUAGAUAUGGGGAGGAACACCGGUGGCGAAGGCGGCCACCUGGACGGUAACUGACGCUGAGACGCGAAAGCGUGGGGAGCAAACAGG